AGGGGCGCUGAUGCAACGGAAGCAUGCAUGACUACGGAUCAUGGUGUGUGGGUUCGAGUCCCACUCGUCCCUG
rnacentral:tRNA from 1 species